rnacentral:rRNA from 1 species
GAUGAACGCUGGCGGCGUGCUUAACACAUGCAAGUCGAACGAAGCACUUUAUUUGAUUUCCUUCGGGACUGAUUAUUUUGUGACUGAGUGGCGGACGGGUGAGUAACGCGUGGGUAACCUGCCUUGUACAGGGGGAUAACAGUUGGAAACGGCUGCUAAUACCGCAUAAGCGCACGGCAUCGCAUGAUGCAGUGUGAAAAACUCCGGUGGUAUAAGAUGGACCCGCGUUGGAUUAGCUAGUUGGUGAGGUAACGGCCCACCAAGGCGACGAUCCAUAGCCGACCUGAGAGGGUGACCGGCCACAUUGGGACUGAGACACGGCCCAAACUCCUACGGGAGGCAGCAGUGGGGAAUAUUGCACAAUGGGCGAAAGCCUGAUGCAGCGACGCCGCGUGAGCGAAGAAGUAUUUCGGUAUGUAAAGCUCUAUCAGUAGGGAAGAUAAUGACGGUACCUGACUAAGAAGCACCGGCUAAAUACGUG